GUUUUGGGGGAUUUUGAACGUUAUUUGGUGUGUCUCACGGUUUAGGUAUUGGUGUUAAUUGGGUUGUCUCUUCUUGACGUCAUUUUUAGUGUUCGUCGACGUCAUCUUCGUGUCAGUCAGAUUUCGUGGCACGGUGGACAAGGGGUCCCCCGACGGGAGCCGCGCCGGUGGCAUCGACCCCCUCAGCGGGAAAGACCGGCGGGUGCGGGCCGUGGAGGAGCCGGGGGCUGGGCGGCGGAUCGGCGUCGUCAGCGCUGCCGGCACUGGCGGCUCUUGCGAUCCUGCUGAGGGCGCCCUCGUACGGCGAGGGCAGGUAGACCAUCAGGAAGACGCCGUCGUCGGAAGCGGAGCUGGGCAGCUGGCUGCGAAUCGACGACAGCAGGCGGCAUUUACUCUCGGGGUCGCGCAGGUCUUCCAGCGCGAUGACGUCGCCCAAUCUCAGGCCCCGCCUUCGCCGCCACAAGGCCACGCCCACCAAGGUGAGGAAGAACACCAGGGAGGAGACGGUUGCCAGGACGACGGUGCCCGCAGGGCCCCAGCCGGAGGCGCGCGAGUCCUCGCCCGAACUAUGCUGGGCCUGCACACACGUGAUUUCAUUUGGUCAGGUGACGUCAUCGGUAGAUGGGAAGCUUCCGUGAAUUCAUUCAUUCGAUCAGUAAUUGUCACAUCAAUGAAUGGAGUCAUUAUACUCUUUUUUUCACCCCUCGCCCUAAAAAAACCGUAAUGGCUCAACUUUCUUAUUGUGGUUGUUUUGUUUGUUUGUUUUUCAUUGUCCAAUUUCAAGAAAGUUCGUCAAAAAUAUGCGCUAAAACGGCCUGCAAUCACUUGGUGAAGUGUUUCUUCUUGUCAGAGUCAGUGGCGGCUGUUGUCCCGCAGAGGGCGCUGCGAGUCCACUCGAAUAGACGAAGUGCUAAAUCAACGUCAAUUACAUGAAGCUCAAUAAUCAGUUAAAUAUUUCCAGAGUCAUGAUGUCUUCAUAGUAAAUGUUAAAAAACGACUCCAAUAGACAGUGGGCAUGCGUAUAUCGUGUAAUGUAGCUCGUUUUUUUUUAACACAUUUGGAAUGUUAUGACUCGUAUAUUUUUAUUGACCAGCAAGCAAACCGGCGCCACGGUGAGCGACUGGAAAGCACGUUUGCCUCGCGGUGCAGAGGUCUUGGGUUUGACUCCAGCCCACCCGGGCCAUCCUGUGUCAUGUUUACAUGUUCUCUCCGAGCCUGCGUAGGUUUUUAUCCGCGAAUGGUUGUUUGUCUAUAUGUGAGCUGCAAUUGGCUGGCAACCAAAGAUGACUGGGAUGGGCUCCAGCACGCCCGCGAGCCCACCGAGGAUAAAGCGGAUUACAAAAUGGAUGGAUGGAUCAAGUUUAA